UUCAACAAUUCAAUGCACUACCAUCUAAUUUUUAGCAUGGACAUUUGUGUAAAAAUGCUAUUUAUUUCUGUUAGAUUGGGUCAGGCCGUUGAUUGCAUCUACCAUGGGUUGGCUUUUGCCCUUCUGAAACGAACGACCUGUGAAACGUUUUAUCCUCAUUUUUCCGUUAGCGUUCGUUCAUUUUGUCUGUUCGUCGGUGAAUUACUUCCUCCUGUGUAACGUUUUCCUCAGUUUGAUUUUCUUUCUUCCAUAUACCACCAUUACUUCUUCCUCAGUCGAACCAUCGCUGCUACCGCUUCCUUUUUCCCAUCUCCAUUCCAAGUGAUGCACGCGUUCUUAUCCUUCAUUAUUCCAAGUGUUUGAAAGAGUUCAUUGUUAAAGAAGGUAUGGAAAGCACUCCAUUUCCUUUCCCAUUCCCAGUUCUUCUUAGGUUGGGAUUGAGAGCUUUCAUCUCCUGGCAGUCCAUGGACAAGAUCCAUGUGUGGAUCUCUCCAUCAGGAUAUAUAGGUACUUUUCUUCAAGCGGGGAAAUAUAUGUGGGGCCUUUAGGUUGAGAUUGUUCUCAUCUGAUCAAUCACUUGGAGGUCAGCAACACUAUCUCUAACUACUGAAUUAGUAUUAAAUAAAAGAGGCAUUAUUAUUGAAAUGUUGCAGAAAACAACAUUUUUAUUGCUAUUUUGAGUUUUUGACAUCUUAGUGUAUAUUAGAAAAUGUUUGUAUGACCUACACGGCUACACCAGUAUAAGUACACUUAUUGAAAGCUAGAAAACAAUGAUUCGAGGUUGGCCUCAGCUACAUAAAGGGAUUUGAAAGGAAAGCAUGCAAGUACUAUUGUCUUUCUCCAUUUAUUAAAGGUGUUUGGCAGUCUUAUGAGAAGUAUAAGCACAAUGGCAGUAACCGCAAGAUUGUUACUCCUGAUCUGGAGGGAAUUAUCUUUCAGCACUUUAUAAAUAAGAUAAAGGUCAUCACGGAAGAAGAGAUUUUGUGUUCGUAGGGGUGACAAAGUUCUGAAAAGCAUUCUUCUAUGGCAUAUUGCAACAUAUCUAUGUUAUAACCCUGUCUCAUGUGAAGAGGAAACAUAUAGCGAAAGGGGUUUAAGUUUUAGAGAAGGAAGAAAAUUGUUAUUAGAGUACAUGUUGUAUCUUAUUGUUAUGAGAACAUCCAUGCUGCCUAAUGAGAUUGGUGAGUAUGUGUCUCCAUUAGUUGGAUA